rnacentral:rRNA from 1 species
UCUGGUUGAUCCUGGCAGAGGCCACUGCUAUCGGAGUUCGAUUAAGCCAUGCGAGUCGAGAGGUGUAAGACCUCGGCAUACUGCUCAGUAACACGUGGACAACCUACCCUGAAGAGGGGGAUAACCCCGGGAAACUGGGGAUAAUACCCCAUAGACUAUGGAUGCUGGAAUGCUUUGUAGUUGAAAGGUCCGCCGCUUCAGGAUGGGUCUGCGGCCGAUUAGGUUGUUGUUGGGGUAACGGCCCAACAAGCCUGUAAUCGGUACGGGUUGUGGGAGCAAGAGCCCGGAGAUGGAUUCUGAGACACGAAUCCAGGCCCUACGGGACGCAGCAGGCGCGAAAACUUUACAAUGCGAGAAAUCGUGAUAAGGGAACUCCGAGUGCCCGUAAAAUCGGGCUGUCCGCCAGUGUAAAUAACUGGUGAAGAAAGGGCCGGGCAAGACCGGUGCCAGCCGCCGCGGUAAUACCGGCGGCUCGAGUGGUGGCCACUAUUACUGGGCUUAAAGCGUUCGUAGCUGGUCUGUUAAGUCUCUGGGGAAAUCUUCCGGCUUAACCGGAAGGCGUCUCAGGGAUACUGGCAGACUAGGGACCGGAAGAGGUGAGAGGUACUCCAGGGGUAGGAGUGAAAUCCUGUAAUCCUUGGGGGACCACCUGUGGCGAAGGCGUCUCACCAGGACGGCUCCGACAGUGAGGAACGAAAGCUGGGGGAGCAAACCGGAUUAGAUACCCGGGUAGUCCCAGCUGUAAACGAUGCGCGUUAGGUGUAUCGGUGACCACGAGUCACCGAGGUGCCGAAGAGAAAUCGUGAAACGCGCCGCCUGGGAAGUACGGUCGCAAGGCUGAAACUUAAAGGAAUUGGCGGGGGAGCACCACAACAGGUGGAGCCUGCGGUUUAAUCGGACUCAACGCCGGGAAACUCACCGGACAAGACAGCUGAAUGAUAGUCGGGCUGAAGACUCUACUUGACUAGCUGAGAGGAGGUGCAUGGCCGUCGUCAGUUCGUACUGUGAAGCAUCCUGUUAAGUCAGGCAACGAGCGAGACCCA